rnacentral:rRNA from 1 species
UACGUAGGGUGCGAGCGUUGUCCGGAAUUAUUGGGCGUAAAGGGCUCGUAGGCGGUUUGUCACGUCGGGAGUGAAAACCAGGUGCUUAACACCUGGCCUGCUUCCGAUACGGGCAGACUAGAGGUAUGCAGGGGAGAACGGAAUUCCUGGUGUAGCGGUGAAAUGCGCAGAUAUCAGGAGGAACACCGGUGGCGAAGGCGGUUCUCUGGGCAUUACCUGACGCUGAGGAGCGAAAGUGUGGGGAGCGAACAGG